rnacentral:rRNA from 1 species
CCUACGGGUGGCAGCAGUGGGGAAUCUUGCGCAAUGGGCGAAAGCCUGACGCAGCAACGCCGCGUGGGUGAUGAAGGUCUUCGGAUUGUAAAACCCUGUCGUUAGGGACGAAGACAUAAAUCCUAAUACGAUUUAUGUUUGACGGUACCUAGAAAGGAAGCCCCGGCUAACUCUGUGCCAGCAGCCGCGGUAAUACAGAGGGGGCAAGCGUUAUUCGGAAUUAUUGGGCGUAAAGGGUGCGUAGGCGGUUUUUUAAGUCAGAUGUGUAAUCCCCGAGCUCAACUUGGGAACUGCAUCUGAAACUGGAAAACUAGAGUGCUGGAGAGGAUGGUGGAAUUCCACGUGUAGCGGUGAAAUGCGUAGAGAUGUGGAGGAACACCAGUGGCGAAGGCGGCCAUCUGGACAGUAACUGACGCUGAAGCACGAAAGUGUGGGUAGCAAACAGGAUUAGAUACCCUAGUAGUC